rnacentral:rRNA from 1 species
AGAGUUUGAUCCCUGGNCUCAGAACGAACGUUGGCGGCAUGGAUUAGGCAUGCAAGUCGAGCGAAUCCCCCAGCAAUGGGGGGGAAGCGGCGAAAGGGGCAGUAAGGUAUGGGUAACCUACCCUGAAGUCGGGGAUAGCCCGGGGAGACCCGGGGUAAUACCUGGCGUGCUGUUUGGGUGGCAUCACCCGGACAGGGAAGAGCGAUUGCUUCGGGAGGGGCCCAUAUGGUAUUAGCUAGUUGGUGGGGUGACGGCCCACCAAGGCGGAGAUGCCUAGCGGGUGUGAGAGCACGACCCGCGCCAUUGGCACUGAGACACUGGCCAGACACCUACGGGUGGCUGCAGUCGAGGAUCUUCGGCAAUGGGCGAAAGCCUGACCGAGCGAUGCCGCGUGGAUGAUGAAGGCCUUAGGGUUGUAAAGUCCGAAGGGGGGGAGAAAGGCCGCAAGGCUUGAUCGAUCCCCAGUAAGCACGGGCUAAAUUCGUGCCAGCAGCCGCGGUAAUACGAAUCGUGCGAACGUUGUUCGGAAUCACUGGGCAUAAAGGGCGCGUAGGCGGGCCGUCGAGUCCGCGGUGAAAUCCCCCAGCUUAACUGGGGAACUGCCGCGGAUACUAGCGGUCUCGAGGGGGAUAGGGGCGUGCGGAACUUGUGGUGGAGCGGUGAAAUGCGUUGAUAUCACAAGGAACUCCGGUGGCGAAGGCGGCACGCUGGGUCUUUUCUGACGCUGAUGCGCGAAAGCCAGGGGAGCAAACGGGAUUAGAUACCCCGGUAGUCCUGGCCCUAAACGAUGGGUACUGGAUAGUAGUCUUCACAUGGGAUUACUGUCGAAGCUAAUGUGUUAAGUACCCCGCCUGGGGAGUAUGGUCGCAAGGCUGAAACUCAAAGGAAUUGACGG